rnacentral:lncRNA from 1 species
AUAAUGUAUAAUAGUACAACUAUAUGAUUACUAAGACUUUAUGUGAUGUUUUUCCACAUUUUGGUACUUAUUAGUCUGUAUUUCCCAGCAGGAAUUUUGUCAUUCUGUUCACUGUCAUGUCUCCAGUGCCUAGAACACUUGCUGGCACAUGAUAAAUACUCAAUAAUUAUUUGUGGGGUGAAUAAAAUAAUCCUAGCUAUUUUACUGAAAGAAUAAAUGAAAGCAUCUGUAUGGAACUAGACCUCCCCUAGGAAGUUUCAAAUGUGACCACUAACUCUGUAGUGUCAAAUACUAGGUCCUAUGUGCCAGACUACUUUAAAAGUAAACUCUUUGAAAUCUUUACGAAUAGCCAAUAAACUUCACAAGUGAAAAUGAGGCCCAUGAAGUCAAUUCCUAUUCAGAGUAGUGAACAAAUGCUUUCCUUUAUUCUGGACAUUAAAGAUAAAAUCCUAUCUCUUCCAGGGCCCUCACUUAUAAUUGCCCUCCCUUGAACUUCUCCCACUAGCGAUCAAUUGCCUCUGCACUUAAUGCGUUAUGAAACUGAGAACCUGUUGUACCAAUUUUGUUCCUAAUUUCCCUCUAAUUUGUAUCUGCUUCUAGAAUGUAAUAAAAUCAGCCUGAAUCAUAUAACAAAAUAAGAUUAGGGGCUGCAGAUACACACGAAGUUUCAUUAAAAGAACAUAUAACACAACCAGGAUUCUGAGAUAAUCAAAAUGUAAUAAUCUGCGAAUUUAUCAAGGGAAAAUUAUCGCCCAAAUGAUACAAUCAGAUGAUGAAAGUAAGCAUAAUAGUUCUGAAUUCAUGUGACUUUCUUUUAAGAAAUGAUUACUAAGGAAAAAAAGGUCAUUUAAAAGGAAGUGGGGUCUCUUAUCAAGUCCAAAAACAAAACAAAUAAUCAGAUUACUGUCUCUGAAAAUAGAAAUAGAUGCUGUGAUCUUGGAAAAGCGAACCAUUUAUCAUGUCAUUGAGGCAUAGACUGGUAAUGAACCAGGCCUUCUGGUGACAUUGAUUAAAGCAUUUGGAACACAUGUGAAUAGAAAGCAGAAAGGAAAAAAAGGAAGACAACAAAACCUAUUGUGCUAAAUAGCCUCAGGGCUGUUAGAGCAACCUCAUUCAGGAGGCUUUAGACUUAAGAUGUGAUGACCUUAUUUAGAUACUGCUUCCUAUCACCCUGCCAAAAACAUAAAGCCCAGGCAUUUGGUGGUUGUUCAAUCACUAAUAAUAAAGCUGAUUGCCUUCAAGAGGUAAGAGCUGAGGGAUAUGAAAGGGAGUAACAGCACUCUGUCCUUCUUUGUAUAUUUCUGACUUUCGGANNNNNNNNNNNNNNNNNNNNNNNNNNNNNNNNNNNNNNNNNNNNNNNNNNNNNNNNNNNNNNNNNNNNNNNNNNAAAACGGGGGGGGGGGGGGGGGGGGGAAGGAACCCAAUAGAAUGAAUGUAACUCCUGAAGGGGAGAAAGAGAAAGAAGUAACCCAACACAGAAAGGCAGAUU